CUACAUGAAGGAUUAUCAAGGGGUUCUUACCUGCUCCUUUUAGGAUCCUUUUCAACCGCAGGUCCACAUCGCGUAUCUUUGUGCCCGGUAGACAGCACACCCUUCUGUUCUCCGGGUCUGCCCUGGUCACAGGCCUGUCCAAUCUCCUCAGUAAAGAGUCUCCAAUUACAUACACCUGCCGUCGCCUGGCAACAGUGCGAUCUAGUAAUCUAGUCUCUGAUCCCUCUAGUCCUGACCUGUGUCUGUUCCUAUCUUCUCUUAUGCUCCCCCUUGCGCCUUCUUCUAUCAUCUGGGGGCCCAGGUUUUGUGCUGUCUCCAUCAACACCUCCCCUCUCUCUAUCGGACUAGCUGCUCUUCUCUUCUUCCUCACCCUCCCACCUUCAGUCACCACCUGCUGCCCGUCCACCUCGUUAUCCAAACACCCAAACCUGUUCCUGAGUUCUAUUCCCCCCUCACUGGCCCUCCUUUUCCUUGGCCUGCUUCUCACGGUGACAUGCUUCCACUUCCCUUGUUCUCCCCCUUCCAUUCCCCCUUCACCGUCCUCUACCUCUGCCUCCACCUGCACCGCAGAGCAUUCCCCUUCAGCCCCUCCUUGCCUGUCCUCCAUCAGCUGCUCAAACCCCCGUCUGAACUCCACCAGGGUAUCUACCUGCAUCUCCAGCCCCUUAAUCUUUUCCUCCAGUAACACUAUCAGGCGACACUUCAUACAAACAUACCUGUGUUCCAGCUCCCCUGCUAGGACUAUAUACAUACCACAGCUUCCACAUGCAGCCAUCUGCAUUCUGUCUGCUGCUGUCUGGCUCAUGGCUGCUGCAGUCUCUGCCCACAGCACCUGGGGACACAGAGCACACAACACACCGCGCCCUCCUGCCUCCCCCUUGACCUCCCUACUCAAACUCCCCUGUUUGCUGCCUCCGGUGCCGCUGCUCGCAGCUGUGCCGCUGCCUGGCUGGGCGGCCGCUUUUAUGGGCCCCCUACUCAGGGCUCGGCAUCCCUCCCAGCACCCUGCCCCUACAGGCCUCUACAAACACACAAGGACAACAAAGACAGACACAAAUACAGAUACCUUCUCCUCCAAUGAGAACUCCCACUCAAACU
rnacentral:lncRNA from 1 species